rnacentral:rRNA from 1 species
GCGGUAUGCUUUACACAUGCAAGUCGUACGAGAGUUUUUAACUCAAGUGGCGGACGGGUGAGUAACACGUAAGAAUUUGCCUUUAGGAGGGGGACAACAACUGGAAACGGUUGCUAAUACCCCAUGUGCUUUCGAGUGAAAUGGAUUUAUCCGCCUAGAGAGAAGCUUGCGGCUGAUUAGCUUGUUGGUGAGGUAAUGGCUUACCAAGGCGACGAUCAGUAUCUGGUUUGAGAGGACGAUCAGACACACUGGAACUGAGACACGGUCCAGACUCCUACGGGAGGCAGCAGUGGGGAAUUUUCCGCAAUGGGCGAAAGCCUGACGGAGCAAUACCGCGUGAGGGAUGACGGCCUAUGGGUUGUAAACCUCUUUUUUCAGGGAGGAAUCAAUGACGUGUACCUGAAGAAUAAGCAUCGGCUAACUCCGUGCCAGCAGCCGCGGUAAGACGGAGGAUGCAAGUGUUAUCCGGAAUCACUGGGCGUAAAGCGUCUGUAGGUGGUCAAAUAAGUCAACUGUUAAAUCUUGAGGCCCAACCUCAAAAUCGCAGUCGAAACUAUUAGACUAGAGUAUAGUAGGGGUAAAGGGAAUUUCCAGUGGAGCGGUGAAAUGCGUAGAGAUUGGAAAGAACACCGAUGGCGAAGGCACUUUACUGGGCUAUUACUAACACUGAGAGACGAAAGCUAGGGUAGCAAAUGGGAUUAGAUACCCCAGUAGUCCUAGCCGUAAACAAUGGAUACUAGAUGUUGAACAGAUCGACCUGUGCAGUAUCAAAGCUAACGCGUUAAGUAUCCC